AUGAACGCUGGCUACAGGCUUAACACAUGCAAGUCGAGGGGAAACGACGGGGAAGCUUGCUUCCCCGGGCGUCGACCGGCGCACGGGUGAGUAACGCGUAUCCAACCUGCCUCUGACUGGGGGAUAACCCGUCGAAAGUCGGCCUAAUACCUCAUGGUAUCGUCUGCGGGCAUCCAACGACGAUUAAAGAUUUCAUCGGUCAGGGAUGGGGAUGCGUCUGAUUAGCUUGUUGGCGGGGUAACGGCCCACCAAGGCUACGAUCAGUAGGGGUUCUGAGAGGAAGGUCCCCCACAUUGGAACUGAGACACGGUCCAAACUCCUACGGGAGGCAGCAGUGAGGAAUAUUGGUCAAUGGGCGAGAGCCUGAACCAGCCAAGUAGCGUGCAGGAAGACGGCCCUAUGGGUUGUAAACUGCUUUUAUGCGGGGAUAAAGUGAGGGACGUGUCCCUCAUUGCAGGUACCGCAUGAAUAAGGACCGGCUAAUUCCGUG
rnacentral:rRNA from 1 species